ACAACGCGGGCGACGGCUUUGUCAUCGCCCGCCGGCUGGCCCUCCACGGGACGCCGUGCCGGGUGGUGCUGGCGUGCGACCCGUCCGAAUUGUC
rnacentral:tRNA from 1 species